rnacentral:rRNA from 1 species
UUAGUGGCGGACGGGUGAGUAACGCGUGGGAAACCUGCCCUGUACCGGGGGAUAACACUUAGAAAUAGGUGCUAAUACCGCAUAAGCGCACAGCUUCACAUGAGGCAGUGUGAAAAACUCCGGUGGUACAGGAUGGUCCCGCGUCUGAUUAGCCAGUUGGCAGGGUAACGGCCUACCAAAGCGACGAUCAGUAGCCGGCCUGAGAGGGUGAACGGCCACAUUGGGACUGAGACACGGCCCAAACUCCUACGGGAGGCAGCAGUGGGGAAUAUUGCACAAUGGGGGAAACCCUGAUGCAGCGACGCCGCGCGAGUGAAGAAGUAUUUCGGUAUGUAAAGCUCUAUCAGCAGGGAAGAAAAUGACGGUACCUGACUAAGAAGCCCCGGCUAACUACGUGCCAGCAGCCGCGGUAAUACGUAGGGGGCAAGCGUUAUCCGGAUUUACUGGGUGUAAAGGGAGCGUAGACGGCAUGACAAGCCAGAUGUGAAAACCCAGGGCUCAACCCUGGGACUGCAUUUGGAACUGCCAGGCUGGAGUGCAGGAGAGGUAAGCGGAAUUCCUAGUGUAGCGGUGAAAUGCGUAGAUAUUAGGAGGAA